rnacentral:ncRNA from 1 species
GUCUUUAAAUUCCACCGAGCGUUCGAUCCUAAAGGCCGCGGGGAAGGGGGCAUCUUUCGGCCCAGGUCCAUGGUCGAGCGCCAUUGGGUUGCGCUGAAAACGGCGCAGCCUUCCGUGUUUGAAAAGGGGGAAGCAUGGAUCGCC